GAAAUGCGAUAAGUAAUGUGAAUUGCAGAAUUCAGUGAAUCAUCGAAUCUUUGAACGCACCUUGCGCUCCUUGGUAUUCCGAGGAGCAUGCCUGUUUGAGUGUCAUUAAUAUACAUAUAUCAAGCCUUCUCUUGUAGAAGGGUUUGGAUGUGGGGGUUUGCUGGCCUCUUAAUCUUAAGAGUUCAGCUCUCCUGAAAUGCAUUAGCAGAACAACCUUAUGUUCAUUGGUGUGAUAACUAUCUACGCUAUUGAAUGUUGAGAGGGAAGUUCAGCUUUCUAACGGUCCCUUGGACAACUCAUCAUUAAUGUGACCUCAAAUCAGGUAGGACUACCCGCUGAACUUAA
rnacentral:misc_RNA from 1 species